AUACUGGGGAUGUAUUAAUUCGAAAAAUUUCAUUAUUAAUGCUUAAUAGUGUCUAUUAUUAAAAAAAAAAAAAAAAAACCUCCACUAUUAACUAUUUUAUUUGCAUGCUAAACAUUCAUCAUCUACCCAAAAUACCCCUCCCAUUUUUCUACCCAAUUUUUUUUACAUCUCUCUAUACACUCGGUUUCUCUCUCCCACACAAGAAACCCCAACUUCCCAUCGAACCCAACCCCUGUCGAGCCCCAACCCCAUCGAACCCCAACCCCUGUCGAGUCCCAUGCCCUGUCGAUCCCCAACCUGUGACGAGCCCCAGCCUCUAUCGAGCCCAACCCUCGUCGAGAGCAUCUCAGGUGACCCACGGCAAACGAAUGCAAUUGGAACCUGAUGUCCCACGACAACACGAUUUCCUCCCAAUCAAAUCAAAGGUUAGAUCUUGAAUACCCACACCCUAUUUAAUCAAAAAACAAGUCUUUCAUUUGGAAUAUGGGCUCUGUGAUCUGUGGAAGGGAAUGGGUUCGUCGAUAUUGUGCAUUUUUUUUUCUGGGUUCAUGCUAGUUGCUCGAUAGGUUCGAUACUAGUUUGAUAGUAGGCUCGAUAGGGGCAGCAUGAAUGGUUUGAUAAGUGCUCUAUAGGAGCUUGAUAGGAUGAGUGUAAAUUGCUCGAUGGAUCUAUGGUAUUAGAUAAAAGGGGCUCGAUAGGUUCGAUAGUAGGCUCGAUUAUUGCUGGAUGGUUAUUUAUGUAGAAAGAUUUUGCUUUUCUCGAUAGGCUCGACACUGGCUCGAUAGUCUCUAUAGUUUUAGGUUGUUGAUAUUGCUCGAUAGUUUCUCGAUAGUGGCUCGAUAGGGUAUGUUACAGCUCGAUUAUAGCUCGAUAGAGCUUGAUGACAACUUAUUUAAGUUUUUUGAUGAUAUUUUUUUUUAAUUUUUUCCCGAUUCUAUUUAACAUUCUGUUUCUUACCAAUUUUUUUCAUGUGUUGUUGCAGAUGCCUAAGUUGCUUGUUCCGUUUAGUGAUCACUUUCCUGGUCGAGUCACAUAUCGGGGUAGUAGCACUUUAAAUCACAAUAAGACUAGGUUUGUGGACCUUGGGUUGAUAGAAAGGGCUAAGGAAUCCCCUUUCAAGCAGUUCUUUUUGGCUUCGAAGUUUAAUUUUUCUGGAGUUUUGGUGCAUCAACUAUUUUUGAGGAAAAUCGCCAGUAACAAUGAAGAUGAAGUACAUUUCUUCUUGGGGUCGAAGUCUUGUAGAUUUGGCAUGGGAGAGUUUGCCCUGGUGACGAUGUUGAAUUUCAGUACCUUCUCAUCACUAGAAGAGUUGGAAGAGCGUAAUCUCAGCGACCGCUUGAUAAAGGAGUGUUUCAAUGAUGCUGAGAAAGUAAAGUUCUCACAGGUGGACCAUGUUUUCAAGACUUGUACUAUUAUGGAAGAUGUGUACAAGCUUGGUCUAUGUUUGUUGGUUGAGGGGGUUCUAAAUGCCAUAGAGGGAAAGUUGCACAUAUGGCGAGAUAUUCUGAAGAUGGUUGAGGACGUAGAGUACUUUUUCAACUAUCCAUAAGGGAAGUACUCUUAUGGGAGGCUAUUGCAGUCUUGUAAGAAGGACAUGGUGAAGCAAAAUGCCAACUAUGACAACAAGAAGGAUGCGAAGGUGCAGCAAGAGUCCAAGUACAGUAUGUAUGGUUAUGCCCUGGCCUUACAGUAUUGGGCAAAUGAGGCUAUCCAGCAGCUUGUGACAGAGUUUGUUGUGCGCUCGGGAAACAUGGUCCCGAGGAUGCUUAGUUGGUCGCAUCGGAGGAACAAGGAUUUUACCAAGUCUGUCAUCUCACCGAUGUUAUCGAAGAAGAAUUUGAUCGUCCUUCCAAUGUUGAAGCCUUGACCAGCAGAAAUAGACUAUUAUUUAUCGUUGACAGAGGGAGAUCUUCCCCUUUAUCCCAGGCUUGGCCAGGAUCCCAAGGAGGAAGAUGAGGAGGAGGAUGCGACUUUUGCGAAAGUCGCCGAGAUAGUUUCUCAGGCAGCCAAGAUAUUUGAUGAUGUUGCCCCGGAGGAGGAGGUUGUAGGUCCCACCCCUCCUGUUGCCCCAGCUACAGCCCCAACCCAGCCUCAGCACCAGCCCUAGCACCAACACCAGCCCCAGCACCUGAGCUCGCCGAGUUGAUUGAACGGUUGGACAGAGUCGAGGAUCGACAGGAGACCCUCCUGAAGAACCAGUCAGUGAUCCUGGGCGCAAUCAGUCAAAUCCUGACGUUUAUUAAGGAGAAACUGAGGGGCUCCAAGGAAGAUUCAGACUCAGAGUCACUGGAUAUUCCUCUGGACUAUGUUGAUGAUCCAACCACGCCUCCUACCAUCAUUGUGACACCUAAUGCUGCGACUCCGAGAGUCGUUAUUGUCAACCCUGAGGAUGUUGCUAGGGUUUGGUUUUAGAGGACUAGACGCCAAAAACGCAAGCCAGAUUGGUUUGAGGACUACACCGAUCUCACGAGGAAAAGACCUCGCACUGAUGCAACUGCACCAGAAGAGGAGGAUACACAUGAGGCUACACAGGUGCUGGACCCUCUCAAGAAGCCAGAUCGCAAACAGUAUAAGGCAGUGUCCAAGUGGCUGCUUGGAGACAUCCCCAACAAGACCCCGAGGGAUGUAAAGACUGAGAAUCAUGGUCCAGCAUGGUUUUUGACAUGGAAGACACCGCAGUCGUGGCUCAAUGAUGGGCAUAUUGAUGUGGCAGAACACAUGCUUCGUAUGCGUCGCAAGUAUUUUCCCAACACAUAUCGCCAGAAUGCUGUUGUGAUGAACAUUUAUUUCUCACAAGUGAUACCUGCCCGAUAUGAUCAGUACAAGAAAAUUAACAACAAAACAAAGUACACAUGAGAUUCUGACGUUAUGUCCAUGUUGACCGGCAUCGAGCAGCAAUUUCUGGCAUCUUGGGAAGGAGUUGAGGAUGUAUAUUGGUGCCAGAACUAUGAACAACAACAUUGGUUUUCCAUUGAGGCAUCUAUUUCUAGUUGGACUCUCACUGUUUAUGAUUCAGAAAACUCGGUGAUUAGUAAGCUGGAGGAAAUUAUGAAUCCAUGGUGCUUUUUUCUUCCUUCUUUGUUGAUGCAGAGUAAAUUAUCCACUGAUAGCUUGAUGUUGAAGAUUCAUGCAGUAGGAACGAGGCCGCAUCAGUUCACAUGGCGUCACAAACAGUAACAUGAGCUCACUCAGUCAAAGAGAAGGGAUUAUGGUGUGUAUGUUGUCAAGCAUAUUGAUCAUCUCAUAGUCGGCCUUCCAUUGGACCCAUCUGCAAUGAAAAUAUAGAGGUGUUCAGGAACAAGUGGACCAUAGACUUGUGGUAUCAAAAUUUGUUACCUUGACGAUUGUAUAUAUACAGGGUCUUCACAUGAGUAGUUUUAUGUUCACUUUUUUUUAAACUUUUAUAUGGCUGUUAUCGAGCUAUAUCGAACAUUAUCGAACUAAUAUCAAGUUAUAUCGAACUAAUAUCGAGCUUCAAUCGAGUAAUAUCAUUUUUAUGUCCAUUAUCUAGUUGUUAUCGAACUAAUAUCGAGCCAUAUCGAACCAUUAUCAAACUACUAUCGAGCUAUAUCGAACCAUUAUCAAACUAAUAUCGAGCUAAAAUUUGAAGUCAGUUUAAAAGCUAACAACCAUAUUAUUGAGUUCAAAUUGAGCUACUAUCGAGUUAACAUCGAGUUUAUGUCGAGCUACAAUCGAGCUUAACAUAACUUCUAAGAAAAAUAAAAGAAAAAAGAAGGGAAAACAAGCUAGGUUAUUAAUACAACAAGUCCAAAUG